GACGAACGCUGGCGGCGUGCCUAACACAUGCAAGUCGAGCGAUGACGCUUGGUGCUUGCGCUAUUUUGAAGAGCAGCGAACGGGCGAGUAACGCGUGGGGAAUCUGCUUUUGAUUGGGGGACAAUAUUGGGAAACGAAUGCUAAUACUGCAUAACAACUUUAAACAUAAGAUUCAAGUUUGAAUGAUGCAAUUGCCUCACUCAAAGAUGAUUCUUCGUUGUAUUAGUUAGGUGGUGAGGUAAAGGCCCACCAAGGCGAUGAUACAUAGCCGGCCUGGGAGGGUUAUCGGCCAACAUGGGACUGGAGCACGGCCCAAACUCCUUCGGGGGGGAGCAGGAGGGGAACUUCGGCAAUGGAGGGAAGGCUGACCGCACCAAGCCGCGUGAGUGAAGAAGGUUUUCGGGUCGUAAAACUCUGUUUGUAGGGAAGAAAGUGGGUGAGGUUAAAAAGCUCAUCAAGUGACGGUAACUACCCAAAAAGGAACGGCUAACUACGUG
rnacentral:rRNA from 1 species